UUUUAUGGAGAGUUUGAUCCUGGCUCAGGAUGAACGCUGGCGGCGUGCCUAAUACAUGCAAGUCGAGCGAACGGACGAGAAGCUUGCUUCUCUGAUGUUAGCGGCGGACGGGGGAGUAACACGUGGAUAACCUACCUAUAAGACUGGGAUAACUUCGGGAAACCGGAGCUAAUACCGGAU
rnacentral:rRNA from 1 species